rnacentral:rRNA from 1 species
GUGAGCCUACGGGGGGCAGCAGUGGGGAAUAUUGGGCAAUGGGCGCAAGCCUGACCCAGCAAUGCCGCGUGAAGGAAGAAGGCUUUCGGGUUGUAAACUUCUUUGACAGGGGAAGAGCAGAAGACGGUACCCUGAAAACAAGCCACGGCUAACUACGUGCCAGCAGCCGCGGUAAUACGUAGGUGGCAAGCGUUGUCCGGAUUUACUGGGUGUAAAGGGCGUGUAGCCGGGAAGGCAAGUCAGAUGUGAAAUCUGGAGGCUCAACCUCCAACUUGCUUUUGAAACUGUUUUUCUUGAGUACUGGU